GGGCACAUGGUGUAGUUGGUUAUCACAUCCGCUUAGCAUUCAACUCUUCUGCGGGUGUUUCUGCGGGGGGUGCUGGGUUCAAUUCCCAGUGUGUCCA